UUUAUUUCCGCAGGUGGCAGCCGUGACGAGCACCAGCUGGCGAUCUCCGGCGACGGCGGCCGUAGCUUUGCCGCCGCGGACUUCAUGACACUGCACUCAACAGUUGCAGAUCGUCACGAGAAGCAGUUAUCAGUCGUAACGUACAUCACACAGCUGACAUUGCCGUGCCACGUAAUGCGCCUUCAGCAAGAUAAGAAGUAAUACGGUAGCGCCCCAUGAUCUCGGCGAGCCACCUGGUGGUGGACGGCGGCGCGCACGGGCUGGGCGGCGAGUUCGUGCGCCCGC